GCUGAGAAACAGUUCAGCAGAGAGGAACAUCGGAAAAUCUCUGAUCUCGCUGAUAAGGGAGAGCGGGCGGACAGUUCUAAACUCCUCCUGAGCCUGGUGAUGGAGAAAGGCUCCCGUGCCCAGAGGGUGAUGUGGGAAACCUUUGUGAAAAUGUGGAAUGAUGUUCCAAUGUUGGACAAAAUACUGAACGAAAUACAGAUAUAUGGUUGUGAUCACUCCCAUCGAUCAAACACCGCUCAAGGUUUAAUCAAGGUUCUCAGUGAGCUGAAAGGUAAGUGAACGUGCAUUGAACAUUGAAGAGUAUAACACAGGAAUAGGUCAUUAGUCAUAUAACAUUGUGCCGAACCAGCUGAGAGGUAAAUCUACAUAACCCAACUCUAAUCUCUCCUUCCUGCACCAUGUCCAUACUCCUUCA